AAAACUAAUCAAGUUAGUAAACCCAUAGGAUUCACGGCAUGGUGUGUUUUUCUUAUCUCUUACGUUGUAACAUAGUAGAAUCUUUAUAUAAAAGUAUUUAACAACAUAUAGUACUGUAAGUUUAUUGACCUGUGAAAAAUCACCCUUCAAGGUAGAACGUCAUAGUGUAAACAUAUAGGAUAAUUGGAGUGAAGUUUAAACCCAGGUAAAGAUUAAUUUAUAAAAUAUAAUGGUGACGGAAGGGAGUCUUUAAUAACAAUAUGUACACAAAGCUUGGAUAUGCGUUAUUAGUAGUUUCUUUUCUGUUAUGGAAAUUGGAUAUAGGUAUUCUGUGGUCUGGUUUGUGCUUUAUUGGUGCUUGCAUUCUAUUGCUACCUGAAAAGGGAAGAUAUGUUUCAUCCGCAAACAAGAUAGUUAUUAUUACAGGUGAGUUGUCGAUCUAAUAGUUAUUAAAAUGCAUUAAUGAUAGGAUUUUGUUAUUAUUACAAAUUGAAAUAAAAUCAUUAGCAAUUGUAUUAACAUCUUAUAGAAGACGAUUUUGAACGAAGUCAUUCAUACCAAUUGUCACAGUGUAGAUACUAUUCUGUACGCUUUCCGGAAGUCGCGAUUUUCGAAGCGAGAACUUUUUGGAUCACAUUUUAAAUUUGUCGGAUAUACUAUAUUAAACGGUAAGAUGUUCAUCUGUACAUUGCUUAAUGAUUAAUUCAGCUGACAUCGAUACUCACAAAUGGUUUAUAAUUAAAUUUAGCACAUUCAUUAUUCGUAUCUUUGCCUUAAUUAAGAGAUUUUCAAGUGCAUCACUAAGGAAAAUCAGUUGGUGAACCUAAAAACAAUCUUUUUGCACUCUUACUGUACAAAUUAACGUAAAAUCCAGACUUAAUUUACUAGAUAAAGUGUAUUUUAAGUGGUGGUAAAAGUUUCAGCCAGAUCUUUGAAGCCAGAAAUAAGAAAAUUACACUUGUUUGAAUUUCUCACUGUACGAUCAGUCUCGCUUGUAUAUUUUGAAACUGUAUGAUCAGUCGUUAUUUCACUGUAUUCUAGUAGUGAUUUCAAAGUUAUUUACGAUACAUUAGAAGAUGGCAUUUUUCUAAAUAACACAAAUAUAUUUUAAUAAAUUCACAUCCUGUAAACUUUUCAAACAUGUUUUAGCUUGAUAGGGUGUACUCGACUUACUACAUUAAGUAUAAGGAUGUUUGAAUGUGGCUGAAAUAAGAAAAAGGUUUGUUUGUUUAUAGAAGUUUCAGAAAUGUCCUCCGUUUUACUUAAAAUUGUACAAACACACAGAUUUAAUAGUUACUAUAUAAAAAUGCAUGAAUUUACAAACAUUCGAGGCCGUACUGUAGCCUAUAAUUGAUCACAGUUCCUUCACUUUGUUUUGGAUGUAGAUCUGUCUCUCUUUCACACUCAAUUGUACACCACUUUGUGAGGCUAUGGUUUAUAGUGAUAAUGAAGUCCGUCUUUCCGUUCGUCCGUUGGACCGGUACAACAUGUUUCGCCGGUUUUGCAAGCGCAUCUCCACAUACACCACUUAAUAUACAUUGGUGUUUCCAGACAUUUUUAAAUGGAGAGGGGGUCCAAUCCAGGAGAAAAGAGGAUUCCAAAUAUAUGUUCCCAUACAAAUGCAUUGAAAGUUAAAAAAAAGAGUUUCAAACCGCCGGAUCCCAAUUUUCUGAAUCCGUCACUGGUAUAACUAUUAAUUAUUUUUUUCUCGGAUUCCGUAUCAUAAAUAUAAAAAAUAUAAAAAAGAAGAUGCGUUAUGAUUGCCAAUGAGACAACCGUUCACAAGAGAUCAAAAUGACACAGAUAUUAACAAAUGUAGGUCACCGUAUGGCCUUCAACAAUAAGCAAAGCCAAUACCACAGAGUCGGCUAUAAAAAGCCCCGAAAUGACAAUGUAAAACAAUUCAAACGAGAAAAUUAACGGCCUUAUUUAUAUAAAAAAAGGAAUGUAUUUCUGAUUUUAUUAAGAAUAUUUUUAUGGGGUCUCUUUAUAUAUAAGAUACGGACUUGAACAUUGCAUUAUAUGGGGGCACCCAUCAGAUAUUUCCAACCGUGACCUCCAAAACCAAUUGUUAAACUUUUCUAAAAUUGCUCCAUUUGUAAUCUAUUAAUGUAUGUAUGGACCUUCUAUUUCGAAUAUUUUGUAAAAAUACUUUUGAUGUUUCUCUAUCGUAAAUACGGACUUUGUCAUAACCUUAUAUUGGGCGUACCUAUUUUAUAUCCACAACUUCCUUCAGACACUUGUCAUAACUUAAUGAAUCUUUUUUUCUUCAGAUUCCUUAUCCUUUAAUUCAAUUGUGUACCUCUUAUUUUGGUUUUUCGAAAAAUCAUCAGUUUUUUAUUUCCAUGAUAUGGACUUUUCCAUUACCUUAUUGGGUGGUACCCGCUUACUAUACGCAACUUUCAAAAAACUUACCAUAUAUACUAGUAUUAAUAAAACUUUCUCAUAUUCGUUAUUAAAUGAUGCCCCUGUGCACCUAUAAUUUAGUUUUUUUGGUGGUUUAUUUUUUUUCCAAAACAUGGACUAUAGAAGUUGCGGGGUAUAAUUUCGUUAAUCCUUUCCUCAAUACCUAAAGUUUUUUAACAAAGCUUUCUCUAUCUAUUUUUUGUCAUUUUAAAAGAGACAGGCUUGAUGUAUGUAAUCACCAAUUCUAAUGCACCAACGUUUGUAACGUUUAUUUUGAUUGGAUAACGUCACUUUCUUACAUGGCAUCAAUUGAGAAUUGAUGCUAUGGGACGUACGCGCAAGCGCAGACGGCAUAUGACAGAUUUUAAAAACAUGUUUUAACGUUGUUUUCUGUCAGUUUCAUUAGAAUGGAGAUAACAAUAUUGUAUUUUAAGCUCCGACGGCAUCAAUUUGGGAUUUGAUGGUCGCAAAUACCCGUUUACUGUCUCCGCUAACGCGUCGCCAGUAAACUUAAUUUGCGACCAUCAAAUUCCCAAUUGAUGCCGUCGGAGCUUAAAAUACAAUACAGUUAUCUCAUAAUUGAUCAACGGUAGACGGUGUAAAUAGUCUUUAAAAAUGUAAUAGUUAAACAGAUAACUGCAACGACACACUAAUACAGUCCACAAGCGAAUCAUGUAUUGCUUUUUAGGCAUUUGUUUUUAAGUAAGACUGACGGAACAAAAAUUAAUUUGCCGUCUACAAAAAUCAUCAGAAAUAUAUUUGUAUUGUCUGAUGAAAGAAAUUACACGUUAUAGUUCCAUGGACACAAUCAUAAUAUCACAUAGACACGUAUAUACCUUCAAAUUGCCGUUGUUUUUCAGUCAAGGUCGUUAAAAACUUCCAUUUGUUGUUGUUUUUUUUCUUCAAAAUCACGACUGGUCAUACAGACAAAAAAUCUGAAAUCGCUACUAGAAUACAGUCAGUUUUAGACUGAUCGUACAGUAAUUUAUUUUGGGUUCCUCAAGGAAAGCAUAUUUUUUUAUUUGAAAUACGAACAUUCUACUUAAAUACGGUAGGAAUAUUGAAACAGUAUAUAUUUUACUGUAAACUGAUGCAAAUAUUCGCAAUAAAAGAUUAUCUGCUUUGUACUACGAGAGCAAAAUUGUCAAUCGAUUUCACUUUUUUCUAUGAAGUUGGUGUGAUGCACGCGAAUAUUUUAUAUUCUACUGCAUGUUUUUGUUACAGUUACUCAUAUUUAUGAUGUUAUACAUACAUUUAAGAUGUGCAAAGCACUUUAUAGAUAUAGGAGUAAACAAAUGAUGAGAAAAAGCACCAAAACAAAACCGUUCUGUUAGACAGUUUGAAAUCCUCGCUUCGAAAAUCGCGACUUCCGGAUAGCGUACAGAAUAGUAUCUACACUGUGAUUGUCAUUACCUAUACCAACUUUCAGAAUGUUUAGAGUUUAUAAAACCGACUAUUUGCUGCGCACGUCUCAAAAUCGACAUUGCCAAUUUACUUAAAGCAGAAACGAUAUAGAGAUUAUAUUGACUUUCAGUUAUUUUACGAAAAGUGAACAAAUAACCCAUCCGAACACUAGUCUUUGUCAUUCAUUAACUCAGUAUCCAAUCGGCUUUUAAUUUUAUCUAAUAGCUUUCAGAACAGAAAGCGGAAAUUUUGUUGCUUCGAGAAUCGAGUUCCAUUUUCACACCAGCAAUACGCGUGUCAAUUUAAUUAAAACUGCAAAAAAGUUUGAUAUAUAUGUUAAAUUAGUUUUACUGUUAAAAUUUAAUUUGUCUAGACCCCUAUAGACAUAUUAUCAAGAUGGAAGAGUUACCUAUUAAUUGACUUAGAAACCAAAUUAUUCGCCAUGUAAACAUGGUCAAAUAUCUCAUUCUUUUCCUUUUGUAUUGUUAAUUUAUCCUAAACAUGAAACGUAUAAAACUAUGAAGAAAAAUCUUGUAAUCUGAAAUGGAAAAGAUAGGUUAUUUUCUAACAGUAUCUUAUACACAAAACCCGGUUCAACCCACCAUUUUUUCUUUAAAAAUUCCCUGUACCAAGUCAGGAAUAUGGCCAUUAUUAUAUUAUAGUUCGUUUCUGUGUGUGUUACAUUUUAACGUUGUGUUUCCGUUGUGUCGUUUGUUUUCUCUUAUUUUUUAGUGUGAAUUCACAUUACUAUAAGACGUGUCACGGUACUUAUCUAUCCCAAAUUCAUGUAUUUGGUUUUGAUGUUAUAUUUGUUAUUCUCAAAGGAUUUGGUCUAAUGAUUAGUCCGGUUCUGUGUUUUUGUGUGUGUGUUACAUUUUAAUGUUGUGUCGUUGUUCUCUUAUAUUUAAUGCGUUCCCCUCGGUUUUAGUUUUUUACCCCGAUUUUGUUUUUUGUCCAUGGAUUUAUGAGUUUUGAACAGCGGUAUACUACUGUUGCCUUUAUUUAUACUAGUAUUGAUUUGCCAUUGUAAAUUCCUUGCAUGCACGAAUAAAUAAGUUGCAGAAGAAUAUGGUACAGAAAAACAGUUAUCUUCGGGUUCAUCGGAAACCUUUGAACGCGUCGCUCGAUUAAAUAAGUCAACCUCUGCAUCGCGUCGAUCAGUUAGUCAGGAUCCCAGGCUAUAAUUAAUCUUUAUUUCUGUACAUGUAACAAAGUCGGUUAGUUUACACUUUAUCAUAAUUAUAGUCAAAAUGUAUACAGAGCAAAGUUGUUAUCAACAUAAAAUUAUGGUUUAUCAUACAAAAAUAAACAUUAUUCAAAACUCCUUUUAAAAAAAAAUGAAAGUAUAUCUUUGCACCAUUCUUCACACACAGAAUUAUACUAAAAGGUCGAGCUCAUGACAUAAAGCUCAAAAUACUGACAAUGAGCUCUGUCUUUAUGUUGUUAUACAGUUCAAUAGUUGCUUUAAAAUACCUUUAAAACAUUAAUACAUAUGAUGUAUAUCUAACCGAUUUAAACAACACCAAAGUCUGUGACAAUCACUUCCAAAAAUAUAUUUUAAAAAAAAACUAUUUUCAAUUCAACUCUAUAAUGUUUAGUUCAAAAUUUUCAAAAAGAAUACAUUGAAUUUGAAAACUCCUUUGGUAUUUUUUUUAUCUGAUCAUAGAUUAUCAUAUGUUUUUACGUAAUUUAGGCCAAUCUUAAUUAAGUUUUAUAUGCUGUUGGCUAGCCUAAUUUCCCGCUCCAGUAUCUAAUGCAUUCUGGGUAAUAUUUUGAGAAACGGAUGCUAACAAAGUCAUAAACACUGGAAAUUCAAUCAAUGAAGACGUUAUUUUUGUUUUUUGGGUACGAACAAUACAUUUACCCAUGGUUCGUUAAAGAUUCUCAAACGAUCAAAUCUAUCAAAUGUAUUUAUAACAUUUUGGGGCGUAUUUUUAAACGCAGUGUAAUUCAUAACAAAAAAGAACUUAACACUUUUAUAUGACUUUGUGUUGUAUCCAAGUUAUUUUAUUUUUAAACUGUUAUUAGCCAGACGGUUUUAAACGCUGGAAGGAAUAAACACAAUUGUUCGGGUCAGCAGACAUUUGGAGGUAAAUUAGAUUAUGAAAACCAAUUUCAUUUGAGGGAUCAAGGCACAUUUUGGCGAGUUACAUGCACGCAUAGCUGCAAUUAAAAAUUUAUACUGGCUGCGCUGUUUUGUUAAUCGUGCGGUAAAUAUGAUGGUUAAUCAGCCGUUUAAUUUUAUAAUGUAUUUUAAUUAGGUAUAAAUUUUCCACGAAAUUAGUUUAAUCAUCUUUCGCUGUACAAUUAAAAUAUAAUAACUUCCUGCCUUUCUUGUGGCAGACGUCAGAAAUAAAUGACACUGAAAGACCAUUGACAAGUAAAAUCCGUUAAAAUUUGAAAUAUUUGUUUGGCGAUAAUAUCUGACGAUACACAGCUUCUGUUUAUUAAUUCGACAAGGAUGUUUUUCCGCUAUGUUUUAAGAUCUUUUGUGGUAUAACCAAUAAUGUGGUUUACUACUUUGUUAUUAAAGUAUUACAUAAGUUCAUUCAUUAAUUGCGUGAGGUAAACUUAUAGCACGUAAGACCAAUUAACUGCUUGAUGCCCAAUAGACUGUGAGAAAAUGUUAAUCAUAGGAUCGGUUACAGAGAGUAAUCAUAAGUAUAACUAAUUGAACCUUAUAGAUACAAGGAUUAACUGAUAAUUUCUAGCUUAGUGUCAUGACCAAGAUGUAAAUACUUGGUUGUGAUUCUCUAUGUAUGCUAUAGACUUCCUACAAAACAUCUUAGGAUAUAUAAAAAAAGAAGAUGUGGUAUGAUUGCCAAUGAGACAACUAUCCACAAAAGACCAAAUAUUGCACAGACAUUAACAACACUAGGUCACCGUACAGCCUUCAACAAUGAGCAAAGCCCAUACCGCAUAGUCAGCUAUUAAAGGUCCCGAUAAGACAAUGUAAAACAAUUCAAACGAGAAAACUAACGGCCUUAUUUAUGUAAUAAAAAAAAAAAAAAAAAAAAAAAUGAACGAAAAACAAAUAUUAAACACAUAAACAAACGACAACCACUGAAUUACAGGCUCCUGACUUGGAACAGGCACAUACAUAAAUAAUGUGGCGGGGUUAAACAUGUUAGCGGGAUCCCAACCCUCCCUCUAACCUGGGACAGUGGUAUAACAGUACAACAUAAGAACGAACUAUAAAAAUCAGUUGAAAAAGGCUUAACUCAUCAGAUGGACAAAAAUACAAGUGGACGUGGCCCGGUUCUUAUACAUCCCGACACAAAAAGACAUAAUGAACAGAUCUGAGAAAAAUCAUGCAACUAAGACUAAACUAUCAAUCCGUACACAUCCAACAUCCAAUGGAUUUAGUGUAAAGACGUCAUAAAUAGCAAGAGAAAAACAUGACCUUGUGCAAUGCCAAGUUACAGGUAUCGACAGAUUGUAGAUCCAUGAAUAUGUAUAUGCAUAUAACAUACUAGUAAUAUUUAGUUAGCUUUUAAUUUACUGAUAACAAAAUCAAUAUUUAUACAAAAAAAAAAAAAACAAUAUUCAAUGAUCUUAAUACAGUGUUGAAUAGGUAACCUUUUAGAAUAAGUUUAUUUAAAGGAGCGACAAGUUUACAUGGAUCAUUUCUAAAUUUCCGGGCACGGUUAACAACAUUUCCGUAAAAUUGAGGAUGUGCUAUCCCGUUUGAAAUAAGUUUUCUACAGGUACAACCAAACUUCUAAACCAAAUCUUUAUAUCUAUGGAAAAAAUUCGUAAAGGUUUUAAGUAAUUUAUGGUAACGAUAUUCCUGGUUUUAUAAUUUACCAGUAAUACAUAGGUUGCGUUCGUUAAAAUCAAAAACGUCACAACACACACGGGCAUAGCGAACAAGUUGUGGAAUAUAAACACCGUAAGAUGGUGCCAAAGGAACACCACCAUCUAAAAAUGGAAAAUUAACAAUAGGGAAUGAAAAAUCGUCUCUUUUUUUUUUGUAAAUUUUAGUGUCGAGUUUCCCGUUUAAAACCGAAAUAUCUAAAUCCAGGAAAGGACAGUUAUUAGGAAUCCAUAUAGGUGACAAGCUACAGACAAUUUCAAAACACUUUAACAUUAUACCUUCUUUUCUUAUGACAGUCAUUGCCUCAAUGUUCUCGUGCUGGCGUGUUCGCCUCGAGUGAAAGAGGUCGUGGAUUCGAACGCAGUGCGUCUAAUCAAAGACUUUAAAAUUUGUAUUUGCUGCUUUUUCGUUAAGAACGCGGUAUAUAAAAGUAGUAAUUGCAAAAAAUUUGCGACUCAGCAAGGUUGAUAUGCAUUUUACAUUAACAUGUUCUCGUCCUGAAUAUGCCUAUUAAUUUGCCACUGGACGUUGCCACAGCGAUCCAUCAUCAUCAUCUAAUGGCAGUCGUAAUUGUCAGUCGACCAUUGCUUUACAGAUCAUAUACAGACUUCAUUCAUUGUUUGCUUUUCUCUCGUCUGAAUUGUGUAUGUAGUACAUUUAUUUGCAUAGCAAUCGGAAACAAUCAAUCAUAACUGUUUAUGAAGCUCGUUAAUUGAGUAGAAUUUUUGUUUUGUGCAAUGACCUUCAAUUUCAUAAUUGAAUUGGUUUUAGAACUGUUUUUUUUUCGAACACGACUGAUGAGUCCUAUGAAGCAUUGUACGUACUUAGUAAUAAUUUUGUACUGGGUUGCAGACACCGUCAAUCAAUGUCAAAGGACGUCUACAUUUUAAAAACACGUAAAAACAAUUCUGGUUGGGUAGCUGCCUCACUAUAAGGUCACAUACGGUAAGGAACCAAGCAAACAUGGUGUUGAUCAAUAUCUUAAUACCACAUGUAUUGUUUUCGUCAUGCCAUGGAAUGAACGGCCUUAUUCAGACCGGACGUGGUAGCAUUGAAUGACCCAUAAACGACCAUGAACAAAAAUUCAAAGUAAGAUUAUUUCUGGAAAAAAAACCGGUAUAAACAGUAAAACUUCAUCGUCCUAAACCCGGUAUAAACCACAGGCACUUGUUUUUGUCAAUGUGGGGUUUACUAUCCAUACCAGUACAAAAAAAAAAACACAAGGUAGCUAACGGAAAUUUUCAAUGUGUUCGCUUCAACCAAUAUUUUUUUAAUUUCCCUUGAUUUUUUCACAAAUAAAAGUACACCAGUCUGUCGGUAAUUGAUUUGUCUUUACAAUGAAACAACUUUCACGUACCUUGAGAAUACCCCUCAAACAGAAUAACACACUUCAGAUGAGAAUUAUUGACCUUUUUCCAGACCAUUGAAUUUGUAAGGACUUAACUUCCGGUAAACUUAGGAAGUUAAUAUAACUGUGCAAUCCCAUUGUGUGAGUUCGUGGUCUAGUGGUUAAGACCGAUGGCUACAGUGCUGAAGGUCCCGAGUUCGAUUCUCACUCGGGGUGCUAAAAAUAUCAGUACAUCAGAAGGGUAAUUUUCACCCUCUCACACACAUCUCUGGUACCCACACCGGAGUUUAAACUAGAAUGGGUACUUUGGGGGCCUCGGUUGGUCAAAGUUGUCCCCUACUUUGACCAGGAGAUCAAUCUUCUGAUAUCUCUCUGGUUUGUCUGUUUCCACCGAGUGACCCGGUGGUUCUCUCCGAGUACUUCGGCUUCCUCCACCAUAAUAACAGACUUCCCGGUGUCCUACACGCUCCCUUGGGCGGUGUUGGGUGGGGAUUGUUCUGGUGGUGGGAUAAUAUUGUAAAGGACACAUCUCCAUUAAUCUUUAGGGAGUGUACAUGGAUCCGCUGUACCCUUGCAGUCAAUCAAGGGGUGCGUCUACAUUGGCGGAAUCUCGAGUACAUACAUACAUUGGUUUAAUUCAUCUGGUUACCUGUUUAUUUAUACUAGUUACCAGUAACCAGAAAAAUGUGACCAAUGGGAUUACACAGUUAUAUUAACUUCCUAAGUUAACCGGAAGUUAAGUCCUUACAAAUUCAAUGGUCUGGAAAAAGGUCAAUAAUUCUCAUCUGAAGUGUGUUAUUCUGUUUGAGGGGUAUUCUCAAGGUACGUGAAAGUUGUUUCAUUGUAAAGAUAAAUCAAUAUUACCGACAGACUGGUGUACUUUUAUUUGUGAAAAAAUCAAGGGAAAUUAAAAAAUAUUGGUUGAAGCGAACACAUUGAAAAUUUCCGUUAGCUACCUUGUGUUUUUUUUGUACUGGUAUGGAUAGUAAACCCCACAUUGACAGAAACAAGUGCCUGUGGUAUAAACAGUAAAACUUCAUCGUCCUAAACCCGGUAUAAACAGUAAAACUUCAUCGUCCUAAACCCGGUAUAAACAGUAAAACUUCAUCGUCCUAGUUAAGUAGAAAUUGUCCGAACGAACCCGGUAUAAACAGUAAAACUUCAUCGUCCUAGUUUAAGUAGAAAUUGUCCGAACGGAAAUAAAAGAUUUGUUUUCAUUCAAAUAUUUGAAAAGUAUAUCCACUUAACAUUCUAUAUUCAGAAGAUGACACGUUUCACCUUAAAACUUCAACUAAUUGACUGAAAUUUAACCGACUUCCUGAAAUUUAAACUAGAAGACGAUCAUUUUAAAUAACUAUUUACAAGUGCUAUCAUUUAUCAGUAAAAUUUACAGGUUUUGGCAAAAAAAGUCAUAUUAUAGAUAUGAUCUAAUGAGAAAGUAAUCUUCCAUGCUGUGAACAUAGAUCUAAUAUCAGAUUAAAUAUUAUUAAAAACUGUUAAGAUUUCUUUUCUGAACAGUUGAUCAAAACACGUUGAUAGAAAUCAAAACUACCUCUCAAAACUUUCUUUUGAGAAUCAAAAUUAUAUCACUGGAGACAUCAGUCAAACGAUUGUUCAUUUCUGCUAUGGAAAUUGAAUACAUGUAGGUUCCUCAUCUAUCCUUUGACGACCACACGACUUUAGAUAUAGACGACCGAACAGUGGCGGAUCCAGAACUUUUUAUAAAGGGGGCACUGGCUGUCCUAAAGGGGUGCCUCUCCAGUCAUGCUUAAUUGAUUACCCCAGGCCCCCUUGAUCCGGCUAUGGAACCGAAGUAUUCAUUAUUAACAUUCAGUGAGAAAUGCAUAUUGCACAAUGGUUAAAGUAAUAUGUGCUUUUAUUCUUCACAUAUAGCCACGUAUUUUUUUCACUAGCAAACAGAGCUGUGUUGAACCAUUGUUGGCAUUCGGCUGUUUUCUGCUCUUUGGUCUGGUUGAUGUCUCCAACACUUUCCCCAUUUCUAUUCCUAAUUUUAUGUACUUGCAUUUUAUCAUUUAUCAAUUAACUGUUGAAAUUUAACUCUCAGUGUCAAAUAUUUCAUUCAAAGAAUUUGCAAUAAAAUUAAAUAAUAACAUAUGCGAGAAUUUGCAAUGUGUGUCGUUUCGGGUAAAACGGAUAAAGAAAUGGGUAACAUAUACUAGAUAACAGGAUUUUACUUCAAUGUGAAUGCUACUGUCACUAUAUACUGAAACAUGAAAGACUUGUUAGAUUUCCAUUGUAAGGAACUGUUUUCUUUGAUAUUCGGGACAGGGGUCGAAGAAAGCUAGACAUUUAUUUUCAUGUUUGAGACGUGUUUGUUUAAAAAAAAAACCUUGACAUAGAUUGUGUCAUAUCUACUAUCCGAGAUCUCAACCGUGAGAGAAUUUAUAUAUUCGAUGUAGAUAGAAGUAAUAAGUUCUCAUUUUAAUGUUUGUUUCAGAUUAUGCAGUUAUCAAAUUCUUAAAACAGAAACAAACCAGAUGUAUUAAUGCUUUUACCAACUAUCUAGAAAUGCAAUUUUCAAUGUUUACAUUUUCCCUAUCACAACUCAUAUCAUAUCACUUUUUACUAGAUUUUUGCCUUUGUUAAGUUAAUAUGUAAAAGUUUGUGAUUAUGACACUUUAUGGGGUAAGAGUAUUGGUAUUUUUCGUGGAGAUUAUUUGGCCCUGUAUCUUCAGUCAUGGUACUUUGACUGAAUAUAUAGCACGACUUGCAUGUUAAAGUAUUGCAACUUUAAUAUUAUCAUGUUUCCAUCAAUAACAAAAUUCGACACAUAACAAUGUGUCAACAGUUUAUUUUCAUACUAUAAAAUUGAGAACGGAAAUGGGAUAUAUGUCAAAGAGACAACAAUCCGACGAAAGAACAGACAACAACCAAAAGCCACCAAUGAGUCUUUAAUAUAAAUAAACUGAUUAAUGCUUUAACGUUUUCAGGUUGUGAUAGUGGAUUUGGAAAUAAACUUGCCAGACGUCUAGAUGCCAAAGGUUUCAUUGUAUUUGCUGGAUGUCUGGCCCCAGACAGAGAAGGUGCCCGUGAACUGAAAGAGUCCUGCUCUGACAGAUUAAACAUCGUGCAUCUAGAUGUGACAGAUGAUUGGAAAGUUAGAGGAAUGAUAGCAGAAGUCAAAAAGAAGAUGAACGGCAAUGGUAAAACAUGAAAAGGAUAACAAAAAUUACCAAGAAUAUUUGCCAGUUUUACAGACCACACCAACCACCGAUCCCUACACCCCCUCCAUAGAGACCACACCAACCACCGAUCCCUACACCCCCUCCAUACAGACCACACCAACAUCCGAUCCCUACACCCCCUCCAAAAAUAACGUAAACAAAACCCCAACACAUAGCCAAGAAGCCUGACUUGAUACAGGCAAAAUGUUGAGGGGGGAAACAUUUUCUUUGCACACAAUUCCAAAUCUUUGCUUAUAUAGAAUUUAUAUCGUAAAACUUAAACAAACAUUAAAAAACCUGCACAGGAAAGCUACCAAUUCGAUGACUACUAAUUUGAACAAGGAAAUGAGGCAAUCUGUUUUAAGAUCAUGUUUUGAGUUGGCCAAGUUAACACACAAAAUUGAACAGAUUAAUUCCAAAAUGUUUUUUUUCCAGUCUUUACCAAAAAAUGACAGGUUCGGAUAACUCUAGAAGUAACAGCGUAUUUCUACUGCUGUCAUUUACUAACAGUAGACGUAUAUAAACUAUAAAGGAAAUAGUAGUAUACCGUUGUUCUUAGUCUUAACUGAAACAAAUCUUCGUUACAAACCAAAACUGAGUGUAACACAUCAACUACACGCGGAAACCAAAGGAACAGCAGUAACGCUGAACUGCUUUAAAUAUAAACGCCAACAUACAUAGAAACGUUCUAUUUGAUAACAAGUGCCUGUUAUUUCGAUAAAUUUUGCAGCGAUAAGAAAAAAGAUAUUUAUUUUUAUCAUACACUAAUUGUUAAAAAUAAUACGACACCGAUAAAUGUAGUUACAAUUUCCCCCCAAAAAAUUAUAGUUUCUCACUGUUAAUAUGAAUCACAAUCGAUAACUUGAAUGCCGAUAGGUAUCAUAAUCGCGUAUAGUCAUGUCGAUAUAAAUCUUAAUCGAUAGAAUCUUAAUCGACAAUAUGCUUGUCGAUGUGAAUUUAAAUCGAUAAUAUACAUGUUAAUAGAAAUCACAAUAGAUGGUUAGAAUGUUAAAAGUAAUCACAAUUAAUAACAAGUAUCUCGGUAGAAAUCACAAUCGAUAAUAAGCAAUCCGAUAGGUAUCAUAAUUGAUGAUAAGAAUGUCGAUAGGAUUCACAAUCGUGAAAAAGAAUUUCGAUAUAUCUCUGUUGUUUCUUUACUCGAAAACAAUGAAGUUGACAUUAUUUAUGCUUACACACGUUUUAUUUAUAGACCCUUUUAUUUAAGUAUUAAUGCAGCUCUCUUGUAUUUUUGCAGUUCUAUGGGCAGUAGUAAAUAACGCUGGCAUUGCAGUUUUUCAAGAAAUAGAAUGGUGUGCUGUAGAACAGUUUCAACAACUACUUGAUGUUAACGUUUUGGGCGUGGUUAGAGUAACUAAAGCAACUUUGCCUUUACUGAGACAGGGAGGGGGAAGAGUAAUUAACGUGGCUAGUUUAGCAGGUAAGAUAUAAUGCAUACAAGAAAAUUAUUAAAUUGUAAGCAAGGACACAUGUUUUUUUUACGAUAAAUUAAUAUCAGUCAAGAAAUUAAGUAUUAGUGUUUUAGCUGUGGGAAAUAUAAUUUAUUUUCAAAGAACCUUUUUUUGUUUGCAUGUAUAUGACUUUUUAACCGUUUAUGUUUCGAAAAUUUGUCCCCUGAGGUCCUCAAGAAAAACGAUUUUAACAUAUAUAUAUAAAAAAAAAAGUUUUUAAAAUUUCAUUUAAUACCAUUCGGUUGAUUGACACCACAUCCAGUUUUCUCCUCUUCAACACUAUUAGAUUGACCCCAAAGAAUGUGCUCUGAUAUAGUUUUGUCUGCCCUGUAUCACUGCUUCUCUGAUUACUAUUUAAAAAAACUCAUUUGACACUCUACACAUUUAAACUAAGGUUUUACAUUUUUUGGUCACUUUUGAAGGUGAAAUAAACGCUUACUCUCCUCGAUUGUAUUGAAUGAAACGACCAAUACCAGCGAACCCUUAUUGUUUUUGAAAGUUGUUAAAUUUCCAUCGUUUUUAAAAGCCGAAAAGCCUUGAAGUAUAACGAAGAAUCGUUUUUUUUUAUAUUAAUUAUUUAGCCAAAACAUAAUAAGAUAAAAAUGCCGAAUCAUUUCAAGCAUUGGUAUAUCAAUAAACACAGAAUUCGCUGGUCAAUAAUAAUAAAAAAAAAUAAAACAAUAUAUGUUUUGGGCGACUGUACUUACCUUUGUCGAUUUAGUUAGACGUGACCUUGAAUACGUUACUAGGCCUAAGGGUCAAUCGAGUGCGAUAAAUGAGCUUGUCUUCCUAUCAUAAUUCAUUUAUACCACAGAUGAAUAUCAAGAACACAUUCAUAAUUUGUACUUAUUUGAUGUUAAAGAAGAUUGAACGGUUACCACUGCAUAUAUUUAAACUACACUCUAAUUCGUGACAUAUCAAGGAUUUAUAGAAAUAUUUAUUGUACUUUAUAUGUUAUAAAUUGAAAAUUGUCAUUAGAUAAAUAUAUUUCGCUUAAAUCAUUACACCAGCUGUCAAAUUUUACAGUAUUUAAUAAAUGAUUAUAAACAUAUUCGGUCUAAAGGUUUGUUUAACGUGUUAUUAGUUUUAACCUUUAACCUUUAGUCACUGACAUGCUCAGUAAACUUAAUAAUACUGUGGAUCCAUUUAUUGUUUUGAGUACCAAUUUUCGUGGAUUAAGGAACACCUGCAUGUUCGUGGAUAUUUACUUUCGUGGUUUUGUCGAGGUCAGCAUACAAGCCUUUAGAAAAUUUGUUAUUCGUUGAACAUAUAAUUUCGUGGUUUACCUGUAUCCACGAAAUCAACGAAAAUUGGUAUCCAACAAAUAAUAAUGAAUCUACAGUACAAUGUGUGUGCAGAUUUAACAUCGUUUUUCCUGAUUUUUUAAAAAUAGUUUUAAGUGUUAAUCCAUGAACAUCCCAGUCACCGAGAUGCACAGUAAAUUAAAUGCAUUAUUUGUACAUGUUUAGUCAAACAUGUAGAAGUUAUCAGAAUUAAACUAGUUAACGAAAAACAAACAGACAUUAGUCUGCUCAUGAAGGUGUCAUCGUUUUGUAGACAUUUUUGAAAAAUGAAAAAAAUCUUUAUGGUUUGGUUUUUGAGAUUUUAUGAAUGUAGAUAAAUUUGAGAAAGUUUUUCACAAUUUGAGGUGUUUUUUUUUCUAUAAUUGUAAAUCCAAUUUGAAAUAAUUCAUCAAAUAAUAUUUGCAGAAAUGUAUUUUUACAAAAUCAUUAUUGUUUUCGAUUUUCGGCUAAAGUUUAACAUGCCGUAGUAUAUAUGCAAUAAUAUAUAGACAAUCUGUGACAUGACCCAAAUUACUGUAACUUGACCUUAACCAGUACACUAAGUAUCGCUUCAAAAUCGAUAGGCAUACAAAACAUAGCAGGAUAUUAGUUCUACUGAUAGUAAAAUCACAAACAUAUUGUGACAUGAGUGUUCAUAUCAUGACCACGCAUUUUUGUUGAAUGUGAAAGAUGUAUAGUGCAGUAGCACCCGAAUUAGAAGAAAUAACAAGGCAUGACACAAGUCAAUUAACAGCGACAAAAAACAACAGCUGCAAUUGCAAACAAAUGGAUUUAGAACCGAAUGAGUUGAUUUGUUUCUUAAAUAUUGAUAAUGUCAACAAACUAAUGUAAACAUACGUUAUAUCUAGGAAAACUUUUUAAAAUAAGUCAUGGCCUUAUCUAAAAAAGAAAAAAAAAAAAAAUACCCAACGUAACUAAGAUCGUGCUUAAAAAUAGAUUUUAUUUAAAUACAUGGCCCUAAAGACAAUAUCAUUAGUAGUUAAUGCUAUAUGUAGCAAGGUUUAAGAUUUAGACCAUUUAGAAGGUUUGUGACACCUCCCAUUUGUUUUAUAUUGCUACAGGGAUUUCGCUUAAUUGUUUUUUCUCUCUAAAAGUUAACUUGUCUACAUACAUUCAAAAUAAAAAGGUCGUAAGUGAAAGUCGCGUGGUAAUUUUAUUGCAAUGUUUUAAUAAAUUUUACACGACACAAACACAACCCCAACGUAAGAAAAUAUCACUGUACAUACCCGAAAAUAAAUUCUAAAUGAAAUAAACAGCAAUUUCGGUAGCUGUAUAAAUACUAAAGUACAUGCUAUUUAAAUACAAUUCGCAGUUAAGAGGAUUAAAAAAAUAUAUAUCUAUAGUUAACAACUCAUUGAUAUAGAAACCAUUUUUUUUUUCAAUUUUCAAACAAAUAAUGAUUUAAAAAACACGUAUCAUCCCUUAAGUUCAAAUUUAUCUGUGAUUUUCAAAGACUUUAUGUUAUAAACUUGUUGGGCGUCCGUUGGUUUGAUAAGGAGGUACAAGUACACAGCCACGUCCAGUCAGAAUGGGGACAUUAAAUCCGAUACCUCGUGUUAAGAGAGUUCCAGGACGACCUAUAUCUAUUGUAUGCAUUGUAGAUUUGCCCUCAUCAUAAACAUACAUGAAAUAUUUGUCACUGGACGUUUAGCAACCAACCAACAAUCAAUCAUAAAAAACAAUCGAUAAAAUAGACAUAACCAAACCCCAAUUUUGGCCUCACGUCUUCAGGAAUUCAUACCGCAAAACAAAGUGUUAUAAUAUAAAAAUGAAAUUCCUAUCCAAUGAUGUCAGUAUAUAUAUAAAAAAGAAGAUGUGGUAUGAUUGCCAAUGAAACAAAUCUUCAUAAGAGACCAAAAUGACACAGAAAUUAACAUCUAUUGGCCACCUUAUGGUCUUAAUCAAUGAGCAAAGCCUUUACCGUAUAGGUACGGUACAAAAUGUUUAAAAGGAGUUGAAUUAUCCAAAAACUUCGUCCAUAGGGACAAAGGGGUUAUAUAGAUUCUCCAAACGCUUCUUCCAUCAAGAAACAAACUUUAUAUUGCAGGCCGAUUCACUGUCCCUGCGUUUGCUGCAUAUUCUAUGUCUAAAAAGGCUUGUAUCGCAUUCUCUGAUGGUCUGAGACAGGAAAUGGCAAAGUUUGGAGUACGGGUCAUUACUGUAGAACCCGGAUUAUACAAGUGAGUCAUUGGUUUUAAAAUUUUACAUGGUAAAGAUGAAAUUUUCAAUUGCCGCAUUCAAAUUCGCACCAUUGGUUUUUAUUUAUAUUGAAUUUCCCACAAUUUGUCCAAGUUUAUCAUAUGGUAUGCAGGUCUUUGUUCGUUAUUAAAUACUAUAUAUGUCUUCUUUUCUGAAAUAUUUAUAAAACAAUGAAUAUGGAUAUUAACCCACGACACAAAAUCAGUACAAUUUCAUGCACAACAAAAAAAAAAAAAAAAAAAUAAAACGCAAAAAGCAAAGGAAUAUUUCAUUUGUGUUGUGGUGUCGCUGUCUCAGUAAUGUUUACAUUGCAUCUACUUUUAUUAAGUGGAAAUGACAAGUAUAAUUAUUUAAAACCACAACUUAUUGAACCAUAAAACUUCAGUGUAAUCCUAUUUAAAAAAUACGGCAAUACAAUGAAGAAAGAUAUUAAAUCAUUUUUUAUGACCAAACUGGAACAACAAAUCAAACAAGAGAAUAUCAGCAAUGAAACAAACAAACAAAAACAGUGACGUUGUAAUGUGUACCUAUACAAUCUGACUUUUCAGAACAGUGGCGGAUCCGGGGGGGGGGGGGGGUUCCGGGGGUGCGCACCCCCCUUUAUUUUUGCCGAUCAAUGCAUUUGUAUCGGGACAUAUGUUUUUGCACCCCCCCCCCUUUGCCCUGGGUGCCCUGGGUUUGCACCCCCCCCCCUUUCGAAAAUUCCUGCAUCCGCCCCUGCAGAAUCUAAAGGACUAUGGAUAAUAUCAUUCUUCGUACACCAAAAUUAAAAUAACGUUAAAUUACUUGUCGAAUUUCUGUUGUUUAGAACAUUUUAAACCAAUCACAACGUUUUGGUGUACCCUUUUGGAAAUAUUACUUAGAAUGCAUUAGAUUCUGAAACGGUUAAUAAAAAAAAAUGUGUCAUGUGAAUUCUCAUAAUUGUUAAUACUUAUAACCUUAUUUUAGAACUCCGAUAGCAUCAGAAGAAUAUCUUAUCACGCAAAAUAGGAAAUCAUGGGCAGAAACACCAUCCGAGAUAAAAGAUGUGUAUGGGGAAGAAUAUUUUGAAUCGUUUUUAGAUACAAUAUCAAAGCAGAUGAAGCGUGCUAGGAGUAACGUUGAGGAGGUUAUCGACCAGAUGGUAGAAGCCGUGACUAGAGAGGAUCCGAAGUGUAGAUAUGUACCUCACUGGCUUACAUACAUUCGAGCGACGAUACUGAUGUAUUUACCGCAGAGCGUCACUGAUGCUUUCUUUAGAAAGACUUACAAAGUUGUUGGACCUGUUCACGGAAAGACACAAUGAUUUGAAACAAUUGCUAUCUAGUGUAUAUUCAGUAUUGGUGAAUGUAAACGUAUGUAGUUGAGAUACGGAAUAGAAAUGCUAAAAGUGGCAUCUUCAACGGAUUCGGAAGUCGUUUUGCUUUCUCACGCUAUAGUGAAUUCUUUAAGAUAACUGAUUAGGUAACUAGUGUGUAGUCGUAACCUGUAUCACGGUUACAGUACACACACGAUGGUUCAGUAAAAAUGACUCUUAAUGGCCAAUGAUUUUUCACUUUUGUUGUUAUUUAGUAAAUUUUUAUUUAAUUUAUCUUUUAUUUAUAGUCUAUUUACCAAGGUUUUUACUGUGCUUUUAGUCUUGAAAACGGCAAGCCAUCUUUCAAAAUGUUUUGUUCUUGUUUCGGGUCAAGACUAUUGAAAGUGAUUAUCUUUGUCCUUUCAUAGUCUUUUAUUUUGUCUGUUAAACAUUUGACUUACUUGUAUAUUUUACUGAUAAGUUUCCGUCUAUGACCAGUUUAUUUAUAGUUUACUUGUCUUGUCUCAGGGAGAUUUUAGACUUGUCACAUGAUGUUGGCGAUUGACCAUUGUGGAAGAGAUCGUAUGUUGAUCUAUGUUUUUUUACUACAUUUAUUUUUUAUUUUUCUUAAUGUAUUCUGUUUUUUUUUUCUCACUUUUAUAAACAUUUGUAAAUGUCCAUUACACAACGUUUUGCAUAAUUCGGUGUUCACUGACAAGUUUGAAAAAAGAAACUAUUUUCAAAUUUUAUAGCUUGCUGUUCGUGGAGAACCAAAGCUCCGUGUGGAAGGUCUUACUUUGAUCUAUAAUGCUUUACUUUUUACUGAUUGUAACUUGAAUGGAGAGUUGUCUCAUUGGCACUACUCAUACUACGUAUUCUUAUACCAAUUUAAACAUGCAGCGCUUAGAAAUACCUUAAAUUUGAUCGUAUUCCUUGUCAUUCUGAAAAGUCUUGACUAGUAUAUUCAGCGACAAUAAAGUUCCAAAAAAACACGGUGCAUGGUGAACAAAAAACGUGUGUAUUUAAAACAAUGUCUUUAUCUCUCUAUAAAAAAGUAAAAUCACAAUAAUACUGAACUUAGGGGAAAAUCAAUUUGGAAAGUCCAUAAUCACAUGGCAAAAUCAAUAACAAAACACAUCAAAAACGAAUGGGCAAGAACUGUCAUAUUGCUGUUUUUUUACAGGCAUUUUCAAAUGUAGUAAAUGGUGGAUUAAACCUGGUUUUAUAGCGCUAUUCCUCUCACUUUGACGACAAUCUCAUCAAAUUCCGUUAUAUUUACAAUGAUGCGUGAACCAAACAGACAUAAUAAAUAAAAUAGUCAAAAUAUAGGUACAGCAGUCAUCAUCGUGUAACAAUUUUAAAAGGAACAAUUUAACAGAACACAAAACCAUCUAUCUACAAACACAUUCAUUGAUUCGCGUGUCUGACGUCAGAAAAUCCCACAGAAGCUCUUGCCAAUGUUAAGUUUCAAUAGUGGUUGUUGUUGGCAUAUAAUACUGGUAAAAAACAAUGAUACAACAGAGAACAAUAUCCCGCAAAACUAUAAUUUUAACAUAAAUGUGUUGUGUUUUAUGAAAUUAACUAGUCCACUCUCCUUAGUGUUAUAGACUUUUUGACAAAUGGAGCAACAUAAAAUUAUGACAAGUUCAUGCGUAGAUGAAAAAAAAUGUCGAUAUUUUCUUAAUUAUAUAGGUUUACGUAUGUUUAUAAAUAUUAUUUAAAUUCUAAACUUAGAUUUUUAUUUUUAAAGCCGUGUAAAAUAUUUUCAGCAUUAACCCGGUGUACACAGUCUUGUUUUGACUUUUAAUUAUGAAUAAAGAAUAAGAAUUAAAAAAAAAGUGUUUAAAGUUUUAUUUCAUGACAAUUACAGUUGAGGUGAACUAUUUUUUUGGAGAUAGAUAUACAUUGUUAUUAAUUGUCAAUAUAUAUAGACCCAUUUCACUUUCAUUGUUUAAAGAUUUAAAUAGACCCUUGUCACGGCUUUUCAAAGCAUUAAGAUAAGUAUUUUAACAAAGGAAAAUUUCAAUCCAGUAAGGAUUACAAUAAUAUGUCGUUUAUAAAUUCUUGUUGCUUUUAUUCAUAUUUUAUGAAAUUAUGACAGUAUUUUUUUUUUUUUUUUUAAAUAUUCAAAUGUAUUUUGGUGUUUUGCUUAAUAUUCGAGGUUGCUAUAAAUAUAUACGAUCGACAAAGAGAUACAUUCACAUUUAUUCGUCUUUUGCCAUUUCAACAAUAAUUUUAACCACUUUCUAUUUCUCUUAAUAUCUCGUAAUAUUCGUUCCCCUGUUUUAACUUUAUUGUAGUUUCCCAAUUAUUUCCAUCUCACGCUUAUAGUUUAGUGUUUUCUUUCCCAGCACACUUUUACUUUCUAUACCUUUUUUGUGACAGGUGAUCUUACGUAUAUUUUUUGUUAUAUAAUAAUUCAAAUUUGUAUAACAAAUUGAUUUUCUAUACAAUGGCUUGAAUAUUUAAUUACAUAUAAUUGUAUUUUGUUAUAGAACUCAAUCUAGUUUUACAUAUUAUAUUAUACAUUGUAGUAUUUAUUAUGUAAGAAACAUUAUACCAUAGGGCACUGGAAACCAGAUAAUGCAUUUUGAAUACAAUAAAUACGUGUAUAACUUUGUUUCUAAGUUAUAUAACAACUCUAUAACUUUUUUGUUAUUUAUAUAAUAUCAAUUUUCAAGUCUGUUUACUAUACUGUCGAAGUUAAAGUUUCCAAUGACGUGUGAUCUUUACAUCGUACACGUACUGACGUGUGAUCUUCACAUCGUACACGUGC
rnacentral:lncRNA from 1 species